rnacentral:rRNA from 1 species
AUUGAACGCUGGCGGCAGGCCUAACACACGCAAGUCGAGCGAGCGGCGGACGGGUGAGUAAUGUCUGGGAAACUGCUUGAUGGCGGGGGAUAACUACUGGAAACGGUAGCUAAUACCGCAUACCAUCAGAUGUGCCCAGUUGGGAUUAGCUAGUAGGUGGGGUAAUGGCUCACCUAGGCGACGAUCCAUAGCUGGUCUGAGAGGAUGACCAGCCAAACUGGAACUGAGACACGGUCCGAGCUCCUACGGGAGGCAGCAGUGGGGAAUAUGGCACAAUGUGCGGAAGCCUGAGGCAGCCAUGCCGCGUGUAUGAAGAAGGCCGUCGGGUUGUAAAGUACUUUCAGCGAGGAGGCGUUGCUCGCAGAAGAAGCACCGGCUAACUCCGUGCCAGCAGCCGCGGUAAUAC